CUCGCGCACAAAAUUUUAAAGCUGUAAUCAUAUUUUGAGUUAAUAGAUGGAAACUUUGUCGGGUUUUUAAUUACUGUACAUUUGGUUUAGUUUAAGCCCCUUAACUAUUCACGCAAAGUUACAUUUUUCCUAAAAAUCAGCUAUUUGCAUGCUUAAUUAAUGCAUUUGCCUAAUUUGCAUAUGUCAGCAAUAUGCAAAUUAGGUAAAGGCAUUAAUUAAGCAUGCGAAAGGCUGAUUUUUUAGAACAAAAUGAAUAGUUAAAGGGCUUAAACUAAACCAAAUUGUCUGAAAUUUUGUACAGUAAUUAAAAACCCGACAAAGUUUCCAUCUAUUAACACAAAAUAUGAUUACAGCUUUUAAAUUUUGUGCGCGAGCCAUUUUUAGUUUGUUGAAAAAGAUACACCCCCCUGGUUCACAAAAUUUGAGUUCGAGAAA